GGUUGCUUCUGGAAGACUGAAAUUGCGCCAAAAAAACUGUGAGAUGUUUGUGCUGUUUAUGUUUAGCAGCUGGCUUGUUUUGGAAUAUCUGUCCAGCUCAAAAAUGGCUCCAGCGGUUAGAAACAGGUGAUGGCAUGGCAGAAUGGCUUUAUGGAAACUUCAAGCAUAUGACCGCUUAAUUUUCUUCCACAAGGCUGUGAGACCAGUUUGCAGGUGAUGCUAAAGUUUUCAGAUCUACAGCACCAGGUGACAUACAGCCAACACUUAGUGUCUAGCUUAUUGUCAAAAGAAAUGUCUGUGCCUCCUUUGUUAAACCAGAUCUAGCAAUGUGAAGUGAGAGGCCAUAAUAUACAGAGAGGUCUUCACCUCAACUGCGUCUGCUGACACCCAGGCUGCAAGUUGGUAAGGACAGAGACUGGGGCUACUGUUGCCUUUCCCAUAUAUUAGAUUCAAUUUUGUAACAAACUGCUUUAUAAAUUAUAAAGCAGAAACCUUAAUGCUGCUGUUAAGCUAAGGUUUUAUGAUUUGAUGUUUGAUCAUUUGCCAUAACAAAGGCAGGAGGAGGUAUACAUUGUAUUCUGUGUUUGACAACUGUGUUUAUAGGCGGUGGGGACAGUGCGGCCGACUGCUCUCACCACCUGUGAUCAUGGAAAGCUAGGCAGAUUCCAAUCUGUACCUCCAAAUGCCUUUUUGGCUUUUUUUUUUCUUCCUUGGUCUAUUGUGAAUGUAUAUCUCUCCUGUGCAUCUCCCAUUAACAUUUGUUUAAGGUUAUCCGGUCAAGCUGCUGUUUGCUGCAUGAAAAGGACACCUCUGCUGCUCAAGAUCUGCUACGUCAUUCUUCUGCACAAGAUGAGACUUCGCUGGGACACCAUUCAAGUAUGACGAGGAUUCAACCAGAUUCAUCCGUGUUCAGAACGCUACGUUGAUAUAUAUGUAUAAUGUUUGAUUAUUAUUCUUUAUAAAGUUAUAAUUUGUAGUAUGGUAACUGAACACCUUGAAUUUUGUGUCUGCUGAAGUGUUCACGGAUAGUGAGAGUAGAGUGCGGCUGCUCUCACUGUCUGAUCAUGGGAACUAAUCAGAUUUCAGUCUGUUUGGUUAUCUAUUGUACAAUAUUUUUAUAAUUUAUGUAUGAUUGUUCUGUAUAAUAUAUUAUGUAUAUGUAUUUUAAUAUGUAUGUUCUAUAUAAUAUGUAUGUUCUAUAUAUUAUGUAUAUGUAUUUUCUAUAUAUAUUAUGUACAAUAUGUACUAUAUGUUAUGUAUAAACCUGGCUAAUUAAUAAAAUGCUAAUAAAGUGUUUCUGAUAUCUGUUCUAUUAAUAAAGCUGUGACUUAUCUUA